rnacentral:tRNA from 1 species
UCUUAUUAGUUUAGUUUUUAGAAUAUAAUUUUGAAGAAGUUAUGGGUUUUAAGAUGAU